ACUGCGGAGAUCAUUAACGAAUAUUUGGAACAGGUUGUAGCUGGGCCCUUUCAGGGCAUGGUGCACGCCUGGUUCAUUCACUUGUUUUAACCUCUGUGCACUUAUUAAUAGGUUUGUGUGGAAAAGCAAGUCUUUUUAAGACUUGUUUUAGAAGCCUUCCUAUAGUUUUUUUUUAUCCCCAACCUUUUCCGGCCAAAAAUGGGGAUUGGUUGGCGGGAUUACCCCUUUUUUUCCAAAAACUUUCCACCACCGAACCCUUGGGUCCCCCCUCCAUGAAAAACGCCACCAAAUGGCAUAAAUAAUGGGAAUUGGCAAAUUCCGUGGAUCCUCCAAUCCUUUAACCCCCCCUGGCCUUCCCGGGAUUCCGGGGAACCUGGCCGGUUGAAUGGCCAGGGAUUUUCCCCACCCCUCCAAUUACUUGGUUUGGUAUUGAAAGGUUGGACUUUGGAAGGUGGGGUGGCUUGGUCCUCCAAUCCGCUUCCCCAAAAUGGCUUAACCGAAGUGGAACCAAACCCUUCCGUGGGAUUAUAAUUAAUUGCACCCGGGUUGGAAAGGUAACAUUGGCUUGGCCUUUUAAUUGGCCUUUAAAUUGGACCACUUUACCUUUUUACCUCCGAACUCCAAUCAAGUAGGACUACCUGGUGAACUUUAGCCUAUCCAUUAGCCGAAGAAAAGAAACUUACCAGGGAUCCCCUAAUAACUGGCAGUUGAGCGGGAAAAGCUUCAAUUUAAAAUCCAACCAGUUUUCACUGGUUGAAGUGGUAGUUUAGAAGAGUGGUUUCCGGUGCUGGACUGGGUCCAGUCUCCUGGAACGGAACGUCGUAAAAGGGUGAGAAUCCCGUCUCCUGACCACAAACUAUCAGAGUGUUUGUGAUGACGCUCUUCUCAGAGACUCAGAUGUUGUUGGAAAGCGCAGCUCAAUAGUGUGUGAACAUCUACACUCUAAGCUCAAAAUAUGGCAGAGGACACAGAUCGCACACGGAAC
rnacentral:rRNA from 1 species